AGGGUAGUGCUGUAAUUAUACUUAGAUCCAAGUUCCCCCAAUUCAGAAGACUCCAGACUCGCCGCAGGUUACAAAUUAGGGUUCGUAAUCUCUUUUGUGGAGAAUCACGCGAAGAUGAAGAACUUUCAUCAAAGAGAUGAACAUGACACUGAUACGAGGAAGAGCGAGACGAAGAGGAACAAGAACAUGAAGAGGUUGGGAGGCGGUGGUCUUUCACUCCAAACUUUUGCUAACUUGAAGUCGAAGAACAGUCACUACAACCCUGCUGUCAUCAAAAAGCAAAAAGAAUUCUACAAGAAUGCCAAGCAUGUGAGCAAGUUUAGGAAGUCGCUGAAGCAGCAGAACUCUCAUGAAAAGGAUGAGAUGAAGAUGCAGAGCUUUCAUGAAGAGGAUGAGACUGGAGAGAGUAGUAGUAAGGUGGCUAAUAAGGGUAAAUCUCACAAGAGAAUCGGUGUAGAGGAGGUGUACAAGCAGACACGAGAAGAGAUGGAAAAAGCGAGGAGGGAGAGGGAGGAGGCAUUUCAGGCCAAGAAACAAGCCAAAGAAGAGGCCGAGUCCCGGAGGAAAGCAGCAAAAGGGAAAAUGAUGAGGAAGACUCGACAUGGUCAGCCUGUAAUGAAAUACAGAAUAGAGCAUCUUCUUGAAUCUAUCAAGAAGUCUGCUGAAAACGAUGGAAAGAACCACAUGACCAGCUCAUGUUGAUACACUGUAAUCCUUGCUUUUUUAUGUCCUUCUUGCCAAAGACAUUACUACUGCUUCAAAUUUUGCUUCUUGUGUUGGUUUGAGAUGUGAUUCUAACAUCUUAGUGAAAACAAUAUGAAGAGGAAGAACAUAUGGAAGAUGAAUCUCCAGUAGGGCAGUGCUCCCCAAUGGGCAAUUCCUUAUCUCAAGCUUCUUUUAAUUCUCACAGCCUGACAACGAGUGAUGAAGCAUCAAAUCACUGUCCCAAGCAGAUGCUAUUGAUAGCAUACCAAGCUUCUUGGCAUGUAUCCCAAUGUAUUCAAAGGCCUUGUCAGUUGAAGAUCCUUGCAUCUCUGAACUAUGGCUUUGAAUCCUUCAUCAAGUGGCUGCUGUGUUAAUGGCUCCAUCACACUGAAGUGGUAACUAAAGCUGCUUUUGUAAACUGGACACUAAAGUAGAUAACAGAUUCAAGAUUUGGACAGCUUUCAGACACAGAGACCAGACCUUGUUCCCUCAGAGCGAGCUAUAUUUGUUUCAUCAACUAUCUGCUCCAGAUGGAAACACCCUUAAUUUCGCAGUUCCUUUUUUUUUCUCGCAGUUCCUUACACAACACGAGGCAAUAACUUUGAGACCUUUGUCCUCUAUUAAGUCCAUUACCUGAGAGACGUCUUAUUUAGUAGUAUGAAACCAACAUAGCGUCGAAACGUGGAACAAUCAAAUGCAUGGUACACAACCAUAGCUUCUGCAGUUUCGAGCAUUGACUAAGAAGCUCGACAAGAUCAAGCAUUUGGACAGUAGCAUAGCUCAAGUUCAACGAUGUAAGACCAGGACAAAGAGAGUAAAGAAGUGGAAUAUAGUCAGGGAGGACAUCCCAAAGACCAGAUACGCUAUUAAGUUGUUUCAAUAGAUGAUAGUGACAAAGGGAUUAAACUUUACAAAUUUACCCACACGGUUUUUUAUUUUAUUUUGUCAUCCUUACCAACACAUUCAUCUUCAUUUAUUUGGUGUA